rnacentral:rRNA from 1 species
AAGGCGCUAUGCGUCGUAAACUUCUUUCCAGAGGAAGAAAACCCCCGACGUGUCGGGGCUUGCCGGUACUCUGGGAAUAAGCAUCGGCUAACUCCGUGC